rnacentral:lncRNA from 1 species
UCACCAACCAUAAGUGGGGCCCACUCAAUUCUAAAAUUUUCCACCAAAAUGCUAAAUUCGGAUACUUCAACAAUUUCUGAACCAGUCACCUCUUAAAAUUCAUUACAAAUCAUAUGUUCAUUUUUAACUGUUCAAAUUUUGUGGACAUAUACUCAACUUAUAUAUGUAUAACAUAUCCAAAAAUUACAACGAUCCAACGGUCAUAUUAAAAAUUAUAACUCACGCAAUAUAUCUCAAAAACACUGGUUUAAUUUUUUAAUACCUUCAUUCCGACAAAAAUACUGAUAAAACACCUCAACAUUAACUCUUUCAUUUUUAACCACAAUAAAUAUAUCUAACAUUUAUAUCCACAUAAAAUAAAUAUUUCCUUAU